AUCUUUACUUCGCUCAAUGGCCUGCUGUGCAGGCCACCGGGGGACCCACCCGCCCGCAAGGGCACGGGGCAAACGGCGCUGCGGCGCCGGGAACACUUGGUGAUUCCAGCCCGACAGCUAACCUCGGCAGCGUCACACCAAGGCAGG
rnacentral:sRNA from 2 species